ACGCGAAGAACCUUACCAGGUCUUGACAUCCCAUUGACCGCUAUGGAGACAUAGCUUUCCCUUCGGGGACAGUGGUGACAGGUGGUGCAUGGUUGUCGUCAGCUCGUGUCGUGAGAUGUUGGGUUAAGUCCCGCAACGAGCGCAACCCUUGUUCUUAGUUGCCAUCAUUUAGUUGGGCACUCUAAGGAGACUGCCGGUGACAAACCGGAGGAAGGUGGGGAUGACGUCAAAUCAUCAUGCCCCUUAUGACCUGGGCUACACACGUGCUACAAUGGACGGUACAAACGGUUGCCAACCCGCGAGGGGGAGCUAAUCCGAUAAAACCGUUCUCAGUUCGGAUUGUAGGCUGCAACUCGCCUACAUGAAGCCGGAAUCGCUAGUAAUCGCGGAUCAGCAUGCCGCGGUGAAUACGUUCCCGGGCCUUGCACACACCGCCCGU
rnacentral:rRNA from 1 species